rnacentral:lncRNA from 7 species
GUUUACAAAUGGUAGAUCCUGCUUGACAAAAUAACUUGCCCCACGCCACCAAUGCCACAGGAUCCAGGAGCAGGAGAAGAUCCGGUGGAGGGAGGAAGCAGGGGCAGCUGGGCCUGCUGUGCACAUAUACUGACAGACAUACAGAUACCUUGUCACUGCUCUUCUGCCUCCACGUUUCUGGAGUACUGGGAGUUUUGUCUUCACACAGGAACUCCGCCAAGCCUGUAUGUCCAGAGCUGCAUUUUCCAGUCCAUGGCACCUUGAUCCCAGGACGUGCUCCGCCACGUGCUUCUAGGACAUGAACAUUUGCACAAAGGCCCCUGAAAGUAAAAGCAUCCCGGCAGGUUUGCACUGCUCCCACACUCCUCAGCGCUCUCUCUAAAAUCUCACACAACACAGACUCUCUCAGACUCUUGACUGCAGCCCAAUAGCACAGGAUCUCCCCUCUCACUUUAUGAGAGAAGAGGCCAUAGUUUGUCUUUCUUUUUCAGCUUUGCAGAUACCACCAGGCAAGAACUGGCUUUCCCACCCUGCAGCCAGGAAUGCUCCAACC